rnacentral:sRNA from 1 species
UUGAAUAGUUUAACAAGGAAGCACUACUUUACUUUUCGGGAUCUGGUUGAGGUUCUAGUUUUAUAUUCAAUCGUACACAUAACAUCUAGUCAUAUUUAACUCUGAAACGCUAACCUAGAUUCUUUUUGCUUA